rnacentral:misc_RNA from 1 species
UGCCGUAAGCUCAUCUGAUAUGGACGGAGAUGGACUGUUAGGUUUCGAGGAUUUCCAAAGGCUUAUGGAGAGCAGCACCUCCGUCCAUAUCAGAUGAGCUUACGGCANNNNGACUCCGCUUCCUCAUUAGAAAGGUCCCCUCCCAUCGUCCUCACGCAGCUCCGCAACUCAUCCGCAGAUAUCUUUCCAUCUCCAUUCUCGUCGAAGUAGUUGAAGACCUUUUGAAGUUCGGUGGCGAUAGCACCAUUAGUUGAUGGAGGAGGAGAAAGAGAACGCGGACUGUCGGCUCUCCUUGGAGAUAAUUUNNNNNNNNNCGCAAUCUUGUUAGAGCAGAUUUGGGUGAAGUUGAAGGCGAAUAUGGAGGUGAAAGCUUAUCGGAAAUCAUGAUAAAAUUAAGGGAUGGUUAUAUAGCA